GCUGGGCCUGGGCUGCAUCCACCAGCCCUGGCCCCAGCUGCUGGGUCAGAAAGCGCAUCACAGCCGUCAGCUCCUCUCGGCUCAGGUCUGCAAACAGCUGGCUCUGGCCAGGGUGUGUCCAAGGCUGGGCACUGGGAGAUACAGAGGGGCAAUGGGGAAGCUGGCUGGGUUCACCCCCAUCUCCACCCCUGCCCACCAGCAGGACAC
rnacentral:lncRNA from 1 species